CAAUAGCGUAUACUAAUGUUGCUGCAGUUAAAAAGCUCGUAGUUGGAUUUGUGGUAGUCCUGGAGGUCCAAUCUUGGUACUUUUGGGACUGCCAUCCUUGGGUGGAUCCUGUGUGGCAUUAGGUUGUCGUGCAGGGGAUGCCCAUCGUUUACUGUGAAAAAAUUGGAGUGUUCAAAGCAGGCUUAUGCCGUUGUACAUAUUAGCAUGGAAUAAUGAGAUAGGACUUCGGAUCUAUUUUGUUGGUUUGCGUUCUGAAGUAAUGAUCAACAGGAACAGUUGAGGGUCUUCGUAUUGCAUUGUCAGAGGUGAAAUUCUUGGAUUUCUGCAAGACGAACUAAUGCGAAAGCAUUGAUCAAGGAUGUUUUCAUUAA
rnacentral:rRNA from 1 species